CCGACUCCAGCGGCUCGCCGUGCGCCGAGUGCACCUCCAGCGCGUCCUACAGGAUGCCGGUGCUGCCCUCCAAAGAGGAGGUGUUCCGCGCGGUGACGGACUCGAGCGCGGAGUCUGCGUGCGCGGAGGCCCGGCGGCCGGACAAGGCGCGCCGCCGCCCGCGCAGACACCACACGCCCACCAACGCCAGAUAUCAACAGCGGCAAGAGCAAGAGAGAAGAGAUUUCACGAUACACGUAUAAAAACUAUGACAAUAAAGACUGCUAAAAGCAAAAUAAUGAACUAUUAAAAAUGUUACUUAGAUAAAUUUUAUCGUUUUAUGAGAAGAGACUGCAUGGCGCAGCGUACCAAACAAUGAAACGAAUGGGUGGAUUAAUAGUUGUGAAAAAAGAUUUCUCAUUUAACCAUUUACACAAAAAAAUAUUAUCAUUAUUACAUUAAUUAAUACUUUUGAGCUAAUAAAUGCUCCUAUUCGUUUCCACUGUUUCCUACACUGAGGCGUGCAGUCUAAAAAUGUUUGUAAAUAUUUUUAUGGGUUUUGUACAUUCGGAGAAACGUCGCGGCCUAUUUAUAAAAAAUGAAAUUGAGACAAAAUUCUUACUGAAAAUAUUCCACAUUCAUUCGACAGCUACUCAACUAGAAAUACCGAUAGGUACGUUGACACACUCGACUAUGAAAGGUCUCGUAUUUACUUCUUAUUUUAAAGCUCGUUUCAACUUUCAAGUUACUUUAUCUAUUAGCUCAAAAGGUCUAAUUUAAAGACGAUACGAGAACCAAAGCAGUCUGCAGAAUUGCUAAAACUUAAGUGGGGCUUAACAAUGGACGAGGCACAUACCUCAUAGAUCUCCUACGUGAAAUGGAGAUCAGUGGGGAAUAGGUAAAAAAGCAAAAGAUUCAAGUCAUCAAAAUUGCAAAUAAAAAUAUUUUUGCUAAUUUGAAAUAGUUAAAAAAUAUGAUGGCAUUUUAAGGGUUGUUGUUUUAGCUUGAUAAAGUUAGCUACUACGUGACCUGUUAUAGUCGAGUCAAAAAUUUACUAAAAUAAUGAACAAAAUAGAUUCAGCCCAUUAUCUACAAUUUCCAAUAAAUACCGAUUCAUAUCUGAUAAUGUAAAAAGUUUACUAGGAUAUAAGAGACUGGUGGUUUUAUUAUAAAUAAUUUAUAACUACUUGUCUUGUUAUACAGAAUGAUUUGUUAAUCUCAUUUUAUGAAAUUAAUGCUAAAAUAAUUGUCAGUAUACCUACUAAACACAUUUGUUUACAUUGUUAUACUCUUUGUAUAAUACUUAUUAUUAUAAAUACCAACAUGGAACUAUCAUUUAUUCACAACGGUAUUUUGUUAUUAACUAUCACUUCCUGCGAGUUUGCUAAAUUUUGUAAAUAUACGAUAAGGAAAUAAAAAUUAACUAAUA